UUGAAGAGUUUGAUCAUGGCUCAGGAUGAACGCUAGCGACAGGCCUAACACAUGCAAGUCGAGGGGCAUCGGGGAGCGAAGUUUGCUUUGCUCCGCCGGCGACCGGCGCACGGGUGAGUAACGCGUAUGCAACCUGCCCGUUUCAGCGGGAUAACCCGGAGAAAUCCGGCCUAAUACCGCAUGUGGCCGAGGGAAGGCAUCUUCUUUCGGCCAAAGGAGGCGACUCCGGAGACGGAUGGGCAUGCGUGACAUUAGCUUGUUGGCGGGGUAACGGCCCACCAAGGCGACGAUGUCUAGGGGUUCUGAGAGGAAGGUCCCCCACACUGGUACUGAGACACGGACCAGACUCCUACGGGAGGCAGCAGUGAGGAAUAUUGGUCAAUGGGCGAGAGCCUGAACCAGCCAAGUCGCGUGAAGGAUGACGGCCCUACGGGUUGUAAACUUCUUUUGUCAGGGAGCAAUUGGGUCCACGCGUGGGCUUAGCGAGAGUACCUGAAGAAAAAGCAUCGGCUAACUCCGUGCCAGCAGCCGCGGUAAUACGGAGGAUGCGAGCGUUAUCCGGAUUUAUUGGGUUUAAAGGGUGCGUAGGCGGAAUAUCAAGUCAGCGGUAAAAAUUCGGGGCUCAACCCCGUCGUGCCGUUGAAACUGAUGUUCUUGAGUGGGCGAGAAGUAUGCGGAAUGCGUGGUGUAGCGGUGAAAUGCAUAGAUAUCACGCAGAACUCCGAUUGCGAAGGCAGCAUACCGGCGCCCAACUGACGCUGAAGCACGAAAGCGUGGGUAUCGAACAGGAUUAGAUACCCUGGUAGUCCACGCAGUAAACGAUGAAUGCUAAUUGUCCGGAGGGAUUGACCUCUGGGUGAUACAGCGAAAGCGUUAAGCAUUCCACCUGGGGAGUACGCCGGCAACGGUGAAACUCAAAGGAAUUGACGGGGGCCCGCACGAGCGGAGGAACAUGUGGUUUAAUUCGAUGAUACGCGAGGAACCUUACCCGGGCUCAAACGCAGGAGGAAUACAUUUGAAAGGGUGUAGCUCUACGGAGUCUUCUGCGAGGUGCUGCAUGGUUGUCGUCAGCUCGUGCCGUGAGGUGUCGGCUUAAGUGCCAUAACGAGCGCAACCCCUAUCGACAGUUGCCAACAGGUUAAGCUGGGAACUCCGUCGAGACUGCCGGCGCAAGCUGAGAGGAAGGCGGGGAUGACGUCAAAUCAGCACGGCCCUUACGUCCGGGGCGACACACGUGUUACAAUGGCGGCCACAGCGGGAAGCCAGGCGGCGACGCCGAGCGGAACCCGAAAAGCCGUCUCAGUUCGGAUUGGAGUCUGCAACCCGACUCCAUGAAGCUGGAUUCGCUAGUAAUCGCGCAUCAGCCACGGCGCGGUGAAUACGUUCCCGGGCCUUGUACACACCGCCCGUCAAGCCAUGGGAGCCGGGAGUGCCUGAAGUACGUGACCGCAAGGAGCGUCCUAGGGUAAGACCGGUGACUGGGGCUAAGUCGUAACAAGGUAACC
rnacentral:rRNA from 1 species